UAACAAUGAGUCAGUGGUCAUGAUUUCCGCUUGUCAAUACUCUAAGUUCCCUCGAACCUAAUUCCUACAAGCGCGGGAGACCGGGGUUCGAUUCCCCGAGGGAGAG